rnacentral:rRNA from 1 species
GACGAACGCUGGCGGCGUGCCUAAUACAUGCAAGUAGAACGCACAGUUUAUACCGUAGCUUGCUACACCAUAGACUGUGAGUUGCGAACGGGUGAGUAACGCGUAGGUAACCUGCCUGGUAGCGGGGGAUAACUAUUGGAAACGAUAGCUAAUACCGCAUAAUAUUAAUUAUUGCAUGAUAAUUAAUUGAAAGGUGCAAUUGCACCACUACCAGAUGGACCUGCGUUGUAUUAGCUAGUAGGUGAGGUAACGGCUCACCUAGGCGACGAUACAUAGCCGACCUGAGAGGGUGAUCGGCCACACUGGGACUGAGACACGGCCCAGACUCCUACGGGAGGCAGCAGUAGGGAAUCUUCGGCAAUGGACGAAAGUCUGACCGAGCAACGCCGCGUGAGUGAGGAAGGUUUUCGGAUCGUAAAGCUCUGUUGUAAGAGAAGAACGGGUGUGAGAGUGGAAAGUUCACACUGUGACGGUAUCUUACCAGAAAGGGACGGCUAACUACGUG